rnacentral:rRNA from 1 species
UACAGAGGGAGCGAGCGUUGUCCGGAAUCACUGGGCGUAAAGGGCGCGUAGGUGGCGACCCAAGUCCAUGGUGAAAGCUCGAUGCUCAACAUCGAGUCGGCCACGGAUACUGGGUUGCUGGAGCACUGUAGAGGCAGAUGGAAUUCCGGGUGUAGCGGUGGAAUGCGUAGAGAUCCGGAAGAACACCGGUGGCGAAGGCGGUCUGCUGGGCAGUUGCUGACACUGAGGCGCGACAGCGUGGGGAGCAAACAGG